CCCAGAGACAAAACCAGACUUCACCGGAACGCGUCAGAUCGGCAGUCCCCUCCAAGACGGGAGACAGAGGCCGACACCGGCAGAGAAAGGUGAUCUAAGGCCUCCCCCCAUGCCAUCCGUCCUUUCCUAAUUUCAGCGCUAAGCAGAAGGAACGGUUUGAUGAUCUGUUCUGCACAACCUAGCUGGCGUCCUGCUCGCCUCUGUCCACACCCACCAGAGCGACCAAAUGUACUGAAAAGAUGCUACUGCACCCUUGAAAGCCUUUUGCAACUUUAAGACAAACCAAAUCUCGUAAAGAG